UAGUACAUAAUUAGAUGGGUA
rnacentral:piRNA from 1 species